rnacentral:rRNA from 1 species
GUUGAACGCUGGCGGCAGGCUUAACACAUGCGAGUCGAGCGGAGAUGAGGUGCUUGCACCUUAUCUUAGCGGCGGACGGGUGAGUAAUGCUUAGGAAUCUGCCUAUUAGUGGGGGACAACAUUCCGAAAGGAAUGCUAAUACCGCAUACGUCCUACGGGAGAAAGCAGGGGAUCUUCGGACCUUGCGCUAAUAGAUGAGCCUAAGUCGUAUUAGCUAGUUGGUGGGGUAAAGGCCUACCAAGGCGACGAUCUGUAGCGGGUCUGGGAGGGUGAGCUGCCAUAUUGGGACUGCGACGCGGCCCAGACGACUACGGGAGGGAUCAGUCGCGAAUAUUGGACAAUGGGUGGAACCAGGAUCCAGCCAUUCCGCGUGUGUGAAGAAGGCCUUAUGGUUGUAUAGCACUUUAAGCGAGGAGGAGGCUAUUGAUACUAAUGCUCUUGGAUAGUGGACGUUACUCGGAAAAUAAGCACCGGCUAAUUCUGUGCCAGCCGCCGCCGUAAAAC